rnacentral:lncRNA from 1 species
GUGCGUUUAGGGGCGUCGUCAUUUCCGUUCCAACGUUGAGCGAGUGGUUGGAAAACUAUUAUUCUAUAUUGUACGAAUUAUUCGGCAAAUUGAAUUCUCAAAAUUGACAAUCAGCAUUGCUGUCAUUAGGGAAUUGUCAUUAAGUACCUACAGAACAACCAUUAUUUCUUGUUUAUCCUGCACAAUGACGAUCACUAAGACGCUUGAUGAACGUAAAUAGUGCAGGGAUACAGGCGACCCCCUUUAUCUGGUAAAUGACGUCAUAAAGGCG